rnacentral:lncRNA from 1 species
CCGAGAGGGAGCCUAGAAACGUCAAAGAUGAAUUAUGAGAGGAGUUUGACUUGUACACACUGACAAUAGUUUUUCUAUCUAUAGUUGGAUUGCUUUUUCCCUGGGACUAUUUAUGUAGUAACUAUGUUUAGGAUAGAUUAAUUUGAAGAGAACUACUGUAUUAUCGCUUAUUGUUUAAUAGAUUCAAACAUACAGGUAAUAAAAACAAUAUAACUACACUUUGUCGCCCAAAAGUGUACUUCACCAGUUCACCCACUUACAAAUGUUCAAUGGCCGCAGUGACUUCACAAAUACUUGAGACCAAGGUGAAAGGAUACUCUAUUUCCAAGUAACAAUACUCUACUUCACCAGUUUUCACUGAUACUUUGAUAUCUUGUUGCGAUCUCCUAUGAAGACUAAAUGCACCAUUUACAGAAAGAAGCAACGAUCAAUGGAAGAAAAAAAAAACGAUUUGCCA